rnacentral:misc_RNA from 1 species
UUCGUCUGCUGCUAUGCCCAG